rnacentral:rRNA from 1 species
CCUACGGGGGGCAGCAGUAGGGAAUAUUGGUCAAUGGAUGCAAGUCUGAACCAGCCAUGCCGCGUGCAGGAAGAAGGCCUUCUGGGUUGUAAACUGCUUUUGCCAGGGGAUAAAAAUUCCUUGCGAGGAAAAUUGAAGGUACCUGGUGAAUAAGCCACGGCUAACUACGUGCCAGCAGCCGCGGUAAUACGUAGGUGGCAAGCGUUGUCCGGAUUUAUUGGGUUUAAAGGGUGCGUAGGCGGUUUUUUAAGUCAGUGGUGAAAUACUCUAGCUCAACUAGAGGGGUGCCAUUGAUACUGAAGGGCUUGAGUUAAGUUGAAGUUGGCGGAAUUGACGGUGUAGCGGUGAAAUGCUUAGAUAUCGUCAAGAACACCGAUAGUGAAGACAGCUAACUAAACUUUUACUGACGCUGAGGCACGAAAGUGUGGGGAUCAAACAGGAUUAGAUACCCGUGUAGUC